AAUCAACGCUGGCGGCGUGCCUAACACAUGCAAGUCGAACGAGAAAGUGACUUCGGUCACUGGAUAGUGGCGUCCGGGUGAGUAACACGUGGGUAAUCUACCCUCGGGUGGGGAAUAACGUCUCGAAAGAGACGCUAAUACCGCAUAAUGCAGCGGCACCUAAUGGUGAAUAGUUGUUAAAGCGGGGGAUCGCAAGACCUCGCGCCUGAAGAGGAGCCUGCGGCAGAUUAGCUAGUUGGUGAGGUAAUGGCUCACCAAGGCUUCGAUCUGUAGCUGGUCUGAGAGGACGGCCAGCCACACUGGCACUGACACACGGGCCAGACUCCUACGGGAGGCAGCAGUGGGGAAUUUUGGGCAAUGGACGAAAGUCUGACCCAGCAACGCCGCGUGAGGGAGGAAAUCCUUCGGGAUGUAAACCUCGCAAGCAAGGGAGAAUGCUUGAGACCUAACACGUCUCAAGAGGGACGGUACCUUGCGUAAGCCACGGCU
rnacentral:rRNA from 1 species